CCCUUAGAUGUUCUGGGCCGCACGCGCGCUACACUGAUGCAUUCAACGAGUUUUUCCUGGUCCGAGAGGAAUGGGUAACCUUUUGAAAGUGCAUCGUGCUAGGGAUAGACUAUUGCAAUUAUUGGUCUUCAACGAGGAAUUCCUAGUAGACGUAGUUCAUCAGACUGCAUCGAUUACGUCCCUGCCCUUUGUACACACCGCCCGUCGCUCCUACCGAUUGAGUGAUUCGGUGAAUAAUUCGGACUGCAGCAUUGCUUGGAUUCCGAGCUUUGCAGCGGAAAGUUUAGUGAACCUCAUCACUUAGAGGAAGGAGAAGUCGUAACA
rnacentral:rRNA from 1 species